GUGAGGGCUUAUGCCCGCACACUCCUCACACCACCUGCCCGAAGAACUCGGGCUUU
rnacentral:sRNA from 1 species